UUCUUGAUAACAUCAUAAGUAGUUUUUUGUUCUUUUCACAAACAAAAUAAGAGAUACUAAUAUCUCUGCGACCAAUAUUUUUCAGGCCUUGUUUUUCUUGCUCUCAAUUUUCACCGUGAUCUUCACCAGUACUACUGCGUUGCCUGUUACCUGUUUAGAUACCAGGUGUCAUGUAUUUUUCAGAUCUGCUAUAGAUAAUAAGUAUGUCAACAAAAUUGGACAAGAGAUGUUGUCUAAAAAAAAAA